AGCUCCAAUAGCGUAUAUUAAAGUUGUUGCGGUUAAAAAGCUCGUAGUUGGAUCUCGGCGGGUAGGGGGCGGGUCGUUUCUGACGGCACUGCCCCAUUUACCUGUGGGUUUGACGGAGGUUUCACGGUGGCCUUAACUAGCUGUCGUGGUACGCCGUCAGGUUUACUUUGAAAAAAUUAGAGUGCUCAAAGCAGGCUACAAGCUUGAAUACUUGUGCAUGGAAUAAUGGAAUAGGAAGUCGUUUCUAUUUUUUUUGGUUUUCGGAAAUUGACUUAAUGAUUAAUAGGGACAGCCGGGGGCAUUAGUAUUCAGACGACAGAGGUGAAAUUCUUGGACCGUUUGAAGACUAACUACUGCGAAAGCAUUUGCCAAGAGUGUUUUCA
rnacentral:rRNA from 1 species